rnacentral:rRNA from 1 species
AUUGAACGCUGGCGGCAUGCCUAACACAUGCAAGUCGAGCGGAAGAAGGCUGCUUUCUCCUGGUUCUAGCGGCGGACGGGUGAGUAAUGCCUAUGAAUCUCCUUGGUAUUGGUUGAUAACGUCUUGAGACGGGCGCUAAUACUGCAUACGUCCUGAGGGUGAAAGUGGGUGAUGGUCGGACAUCAUGCUCUGUUAUGAGCUUAGUUGGGAUUAGCUAGUUGGUGGGGUAAAGGCCUACCAAGGCGACGAUCCGUAACUGGUCUGAGAGGAUGAUCAGUCACACUGGAACUGAGACACGGUCCAGACUCCUACGGGAGGCAGCAGUGGGGAAUAUUGGACAAAGGGCGAAAGCCUGAUCCAGCCAUGCCGCGUGUGUGAAGAAGGUCUUCGGAUUGUAAAGCACUUUAAGUUGGGAGGAAGGGCAGUAAGUUAAUACCUUGCUGUUUUGACGUUACCAACAGAAUAAGCACCGGCUAACUUCGUG